rnacentral:tRNA from 1 species
GCUUAGAUAGUUUAAUAGGUUAAAACCCCCGCUUCAUGAGCGGAGAAUGUAGGUUCAAUUCCUUCUCUAAGUA